GAAGAUCUAAGUGUCUUAAAUAUAGCAUUUUCCUUUUCUCUGAAGAACUUCUUUUAACAUUACUUGCAAGACAGUUCUGUUGGUGGCAAGUUCCCUCAAUUUUUUGUCUGAACAAGUCUGUAUUUCUUUGCUGGGUGUGGAAUUCCAGGUUGGGGAUACUUUUAACACUUUAAAUAUUUCACUCCAUUCUGUUCUUGUCUCACAUGGUUUCUAAAGAGAGGCCUGCUGUAACUCUUAUUUUGCUCCUUUAUAGGUAAGGAAUUUUUCCCUCUGGCUUUGUUCAAGAUUUUCCCUUGAUUUUGUGCUGUUUAAAUAUGAGAUUACAAGUCUUGAAAGUUUCUGUUGGUAUAUCUUCAGUCUUCACUGAUACCUCAACCAUGUCGAGUCUAUUGAUGAGCCCAUCAAAGGCAUUCUUUGUUAUGAAGUUAGCAAGAGGGAAAUGGAUGCUGCCCUUACCCAGGAAAGCAGUUCCACUCCAGGUAGCUGGGAGCUAUGGGGAACCACCCACCACACAGCUCCCAAGCUUGUUAAAAUCGUUCUUCCACAAGGUAUAGCAAUGGCGAUAUGGGUGUAUUGCCUAGCUUCAUUACCAAGGCCUCCCAAUGUUCUUAGCUAUUGUCCCUAACUUUGUUGAAUAAAUACUUCUCAAUCUGUUAUAAUCCCUUUGAUCAAUCUCUGGAACAUUUGGUUGAGUAUCCUUGCUAAUACUUGAUCAAUUUAAUAGUUAUCUCUACCAGGAAGAGAUUUCUCUAAGGUCCUCACAUGGCCAUUUUGGAAGGGCUCUCACUUUCUCAAUGAUAUCUUUGACACACAAAAAUUUUUAAUUUUGAUUAGGUCAUAUUUAUCACUUUUAAAUUUUUCUUGCUUGUACUUUUUGCAUCAUAUCUAAGAUGGCUUUGCCUAACUCAAGAUCACAAAGAUUUACUCCUACGUUUUCUUACAGUUGUUUUAAAAUUUCACCUCUUAAGGUUAGGCCUUUGAUCCAUUUUGAGUUAAUUUUUGUGCAUGGUGUGAGAUAGAUAGUGUCUGAGUUCAUAAUUUUUCUUUUGGUUAUCCAAUUGUCCCAGCACCAUUGUUGUGAAUGCUAUUCCAUGAGUCUUCUGAUUCACGAACAUAAGAUAUCUCUCCAUUUAUUUACCUCUCCUUUAAUGUAUUUUAGCAGUGUUUUUUUAGUUUUCACUUUACAAGUCUUCUACUUCUUUUGUUUAAUUUAUUUUUAAAUAUUUUCUUAAUUCUAUUGUAAAUGGUCUGUUACUCUCAUUUUUAGAUUGUUCAUUACUAGUGUAUACAAUUGAU